rnacentral:rRNA from 1 species
GAUGAACGCUGGCGGCGUGCCUAAUACAUGCAAGUCGAGCGAAUGGAUUAAGAGCUUGCUCUUAUGAAGUUAGCGGCGGACGGGUGAGUAACACGUGGGUAACCUGCCCAUAAGACUGGGAUAACUCCGGGAAACCGGGGCUAAUACCGGAUAACAUUUUGAACCGCAUGGUUCGAAAUUGAAAGGCGGCUUCGGCUGUCACUUAUGGAUGGACCCGCGUCGCAUUAGCUAGUUGGUGAGGUAACGGCUCACCAAGGCAACGAUGCGUAGCCGCCCUGGGAGGGGGAUCGGCCACCCGGGGACUGAGACACGGCCCAGACUCCUACGGGAGGCAGCAGUAGGGAAUCUUCCGCAAUGGACGAAAGUCUGACGGAGCAACGCCGCGUGAGUGAUGAAGGCUUUCGGGUCGUAAAACUCUGUUGUUAGGGAAGAACAAGUGCUAGUUGAAUAAGCUGGCACCUCGACGGUACCUAACCAGAAAGCCACGGCUAACUACGUGCCAGCAGCCGCCGUAA